GGACAACCUUUGGGUCCCAGACAUUCAAAUAAAACAGCUCCUGGACGAAGCCAGCUCUACCAAAACUCCCUAUGUCUACUUAUAUAAUACAGGUCAUGUAUAUGAUGAUAAGCCCAUCACAGUGGUCACUUCUUGCCAAUUGGGAAUCUACACCUUUCCCUUUGAUAUCCAAAACUGCUCGUUGACCUUCGGAUCAUAUAUACACUUUGCUACAGAUAUUCAGAUGAUUCAAGGCGCCACAGCUGAAAAGGUCCUGAAAGAGUCCCGAGAUGUGAUCGUAACCAAUGGGG